AAAUAGGAAAUAUACUAGUCCUUCAACUAGAUAUUCGCACUAUUCUUCCCGAGUGUUAUAAAAACACUGACGUUUGAAAAAUAGGAAACAUACUAGUCUUUCGACUAGAAAUUCGCACUAUUCUUUCCAAGUGUUAUGCAAACACUGACCCUCGAAAAAUAGGAAAUAUACUAGUCUUUCGACGAGAUAUACGGUACUACUUUUCCUAGUGUAAUGCAAACAUCUGUGACAAUCUCCGUUGGUUGAGACACAUGCAAUUCAUAGGAUGACGUUUGUGUUCUCCCGGCAGAGGAUGUCCGAGGGCUGGCCUCGUGGAAAGGAGGACUUUCCGGGUCUCUUGGAGACUCGGACGGUGCACCGAUUUCAGUCGUCGUCGAUCAUCCGCCGAAAACAAAACGUCAUCCGGCUCGAAGGACCAAGUUUUUGAAUGUCAGAGAUGUUCCUAGAAAAACAGCUAAGACAAGCCUGAGGGCUGUAGAGAGUGAACUCAAACCAACCAAGAUUGUCUUUUCGUGCACAGGACAGACGGAGGACACACUGUGAAAGUGCGCUACCUCAGACUGCCAAAGUGGUAGUCCCUGUCUACUCUUUUUUAUUGCAUUCUCAGGUCAAACGGUUACAUGGUUACACAGUGAAAAUGCUGACACAGAUGGCUAUACCAACAACACACAAACACUAAGGUCACUAUGUGAGACUACAAUUUGAAUCACCACUACAUGACAAAAUAUGAGGAUAAAUACAGAAAUCUGUGUGAUGAAGACUGAGCAAGGCAGUCCUGAUGUGUUCCUCACACACUGUAAAGCCAACAAGGAUUUUGCGCACCCAGUGAUGCAGCCGUCAGGACUAAGGUCAUUUCUUACAAAGUUUCCAAAAAAAUGUAAAGGGGAGCAUUUGAGAACGUGCCACUUUCCUGACUCACUGUCACGAGGUGGGUUGACGACAUCGCUGGAAACUUGGACCUUCAGUUGAAGAACAGAGUGGCAAACUUUGACUCUUUUUCUAUGGAGUUGGACGAGAGCUGCGAUGUACGUGAGAUUGCUCAGCCGUUCAUCUUCUUACGUGGGAUAAUCGCAGACUUUACAACCACAGAGGAGCUAGCAGCCAUGCAAUCAAUGAUAGGGACCACCACUGGGGGUGACUUUAUCACAGAGGCAUCGCCAUUUUUGACAAGUUAUUUCUGUGUGAAGAAAGGACAUGGCAUCCCACAUCUUUUAGAUUAAGACUGGGUGCCUACUUGGAUUUUAUUCUUGGAUUUUUUUUGUGAAUGUGAGUGCACUGUUCUUCUUUUCCUUUCAGCUUGUCCUGAUUAGGGAUCACCACAGUGUCAUCUUUUUCCAUCGAAGCCUAUCUCGUGCAUCUUCUUCUCGAACACCCACAGUCUUCAUGUCCUUCCUCACAACAUUCAUCAACUUUUUCUUUGGUCUUCCUUUCGCUCUUUUGCCUGGCAGCUUCAUCCUCAGCACCCUUCUGCCAAUAUACUCAUUCUCUCGCCUCUGGACAUCUCCAAAUUAUCGCAGUCUGCUCUUCUAACCUUGCCUCGAAAACAUCCAACUUUGGCUGUCCCUCUAAUGAGCUCAUUUCUAAUCGUAUCCAACCUGCUCACUCCGAGUGAAAUACUCAGGAUCUUCAUUUCUGCUACCUCAAGUUCUGCUUCCUUUUAUUUCUUAAGUGCCACAGUCUCUAAUCCCUACAUCAUGGCCGGGCUCCCCACUGUUUUAUAAACUUUCCCCUUCAUCCUAGUGGAGACUCUUCUGUCACAUAGAUCACUGGACACCUUCUGCCAACUGUUCCACCCUGCUUAUACCCGUUUCUUCACUACCUCUCCAUUGCCCUGUAUUGUAUUUUAAGUCGUCCACCCUCACUAUCUCUUCUACACUCUCCCCCCACCGCCGCUCUCAUUCAUGCACAUAUACUCUGUUUUACUUCGGCUAAUCUUCAUUCCUCUCCUUUCCAAUGCGUACCUCGAUCUUUCUAACUGUUCCUCCACCUGCUCCCUGCUUUCACUGCAGAUCACAAUAUCAUCUGCGAACUUCAUGGUCCACGGGGAUUCCAGUCCAACCUCAUCCGUCAGCCUACAACACUCGGGAGGAUGGCUUUACUGCAGGUUGAUUUUCCAAAGAAAUGUGUGGUGCUGAACAGACAACAUCAAAGACAGGCAGGACGCUGCACAUAAGUCUGUCAAAAAAAGGUCACGGAUAUUGAGUCAUUUAGGUCUCUAGAAAAUCUUGUCCAUCAUGCAUGUGUCGUAAAAUGCAAUUUCUGGCUGCUCAUUACAUCAACCAUGAGAAAUGAACUGAGCCACAAAUCUGGUCAAAUAGGUGGUUAUUGGACCACUGAUUCCCCAAUGAUAAAUGUAUUGUAGGGUGUUGGGACUGAAUCUAAUAAAUGAAGAUUCAACAUUUUCCACAAGACACGUGAUUUCAAUACUGUCGGCAGCCACUAAUCACAUUAUACAUAACUCCCUCAAUUUCAAGUUUCAGCAUCAUUACUUGAUACUCUUUUCACCUCCAAAACAUUCUUAGCUAACUCUUCCUUUAAAGUAAUCCCUACUCAAUUUCUCUUCCCAUAUACUUAUGGUAAAAUAAUUUAAACCAUGCCUCUAAAUUUCUAGAAAUACUGCCCUUUCCUGUCAUAGUCCCAACAUUCAAAGUCCUCAGAUUCAGUUGUAGGCUCUAUGCUUUCCUCUUUUCUUUCUGGUGAAGGAGCUGAUUUCCUCUUCUCUGUCUUUGACCCACAGUAAUUAAAUGCUGAGUUGUAUCAAAAGAACACCAUAUGGACGUGAAAACAUCAUGGUUUCGAGCUGUUUUUCUGUAAAGGGACUAGGAUGACUGAAAAGAAUGAAUGAAUGAAGCCAUGUAUCAUGAGAUUUUGUGUGAAAACCUUCUUCCUCCAGUCAGGGCAUUGAAGAAAUAUCUUUCAGCAUGACAAUGAUCCCAAACACACACUUGAGAACAAAGGAGUGGCUUCGUAAGCACUAUUUAAAGGUCCCGGAGUGACACAGCCAGUCCCCAGAUCGUAACCCAAGAGAAAGUCUUUCGAGGGUGUUAAAAGUCUGGGUUGCCCAAUGCAGCCCCAAAACAUCAUUGCUCUUGUGGGUAGAUCUACGUCGAAGAAUUUUCCAAAAUACCAGCAACAGUGUGUGAAAACCUCGUGAAGAUUUACAGUUAAACGACUAACUUCUGUCAUUGUCAACAAAAUAUUGAGAUGAACUUUUGUUCCUGAUAAAAUACUUAUUUUCCAUCAUAAUUUGCAAAUAAAUUCUUUAAAAAUCAGACUAAUUUUCUGGAUUUUUUUUACCCCCACAUUUUGUUUCUCAUCGGUGUGGUACACAUGAUGAAAAU